GAUGAACGCUGGCGGCGUGCCUAAUACAUGCGAGUCGAGCGAACAGACGAGGAGCUUGCUCCUCUGACGUUAGCGGCGGACGGGUGAGUAACACGUGGAUAACCUACCUAUAAGACUGGGAUAACUUCGGGAAACCGGAGCUAAUACCGGAUAAUAUAUUGAACCGCAUGGUUCAAUAGUGAAAGACGGUUUUGCUGUCACUUAUAGAUGGAUCCGCGCCGCAUUAGCUAGUUGGUAAGGUAACGGCUUACCAAGGCAACGAUGCGUAGCCGACCUGAGAGGGUGAUCGGCCACACUGGAACUGAGACACGGUCCAGACUCCUACGGGAGGUAGCAGUAGGGAAUCUUCCGCAAUGGGCGAAAGCCUGACGGAGCAACGCCGCGUGAGUGAUGAAGGUCUUCGGAUCGUAAAACUCUGUUAUUAGGGAAGAACAAAUGUGUAAGUAACUAUGCACGUCUUGACGGUACCUAAUCAGAAAGCCACGGCUAACUACGUG
rnacentral:rRNA from 1 species